CCCCCUCCCAGUAUAAUCACGCCCCUCCCUCACCCCUCACUCUUCACCCCUGAUCCCUCUCAGAGCAGGCAUUGACCCAGCGAGAGUAGCCAGCUGGUUGUCAAGGAGUUGCUACGGACGCCACCAAGACAAUCCCGCCCUCCGCCUUCCCGCUUCUGUCUCUUGAAGAAGCCACACCGCCACCACCAGCGGAACACCAGUGCUGUGGGCUUCGGUAAGGCAAUAUGCAGACGGCGGCAGCGGCGAUAGUGGCGGUAGAGGCGGCGGGCGAGACGGCAGCGGCGAGGUGAGGUGAAGAGAGGGCAGGAAAGGUCAAGAGGAAGGUCGCCAUGAGGGAUGAGGAAGGAGUGCGCCUGGAUCUGUACAACUAUGACCUUCCCCAGAAUGCCUCGCGACCUCACAUCUUAACCAGUCCGAGGUCACUUCAUGCUUGUCGACAUUUGGGGAUUAGGCCGGUGGAUCUCCUGCAGCAGCCGCGGGAGGAGUUCGAGGCGACACACCCCAGCCUACCUCUCGCCCAGCGCCUCGUUGCCUACCAAUCCCAGGAGAGGAGAAGACUUAAGCGGCUUCGUGAAGCAAGAGAGCUGAGAGAUAGACUGGUUGAGGACGAUAUUAGGAGAGGAAAUGAAGGUGAGGGAGCGGCGACAGAGCUGGAGAAAGGAGAAAGGGAGCAAGAAGAAGGAAAAGAGAAGAGAGAUAAGGAAGAGGAUGACAAGAGAGAACAAGAAGAGGAACCGGGAACAAGUAAAGGAGGAG